rnacentral:rRNA from 1 species
GGGUAAGAACCUCACCUAUCUUGAUAUGUAGGUGGGGUUGUGAUAUAUUGUGCCCAGUGGGCCACUUUUGGUAAGCAGAACUGGCGCUGUGGGAUGAACCAAACGCAAUGUUACGGUGCCAAAAUUUACAACUCAUGCAGAUACCAUGAAAGGCGUUGCUUGCUUAAAACAGCAGGACGGUGGACAUGGAAGUCGUAAUCCGCUAAGGAGUGUGUAACAACUCACCUGCCGAAGCAACUAGCCCUUAAAAUGGAUGGCGCUUAAGUUGUAUACCUAUACAUUGCCGCUAACGUAGAUGGUCUAUAUCCAGUUUCGGCUGGUUAUUAAUUUUGAAACGUUAGUGAGUAGGAGGGUACAAUGGUGUGCCUAGAAGUGUUUG